rnacentral:pre_miRNA from 1 species
UGGACAGAUUAUUGUAUUCGACUGUAUUCAAGGCGUGAAAUAGGAAAUGCACUGUUUUUAAACGGAAAGUGAAUCAAUUAACAUAAUAGACUCCU